GCGCCCGUAGCUCAGUCUGGAUAGAGCGCAUGCCUCCGAAGCAUGAGGUCACAGGUUCGAAUCCUGUCGGGCGUA
rnacentral:tRNA from 1 species